GACGAACGCUGGCGGCGUGCCUAACACAUGCAAGUCGAGCGAAUGAAGUUCCUUCGGGAAUGGAUUUAGCGGCGGACGGGUGAGUAACACGUGGGCAACCUGCCUCAUAGAGGGGAAUAGCCUUCCGAAAGGGAGAUUAAUACCGCAUAAGAUUGUAGUACCGCAUGGUACAGCAAUUAAAGGAGCAAUCCGCUAUGAGAUGGGCCCGCGGCGCAUUAGCUAGUUGGGGAGGUAACGGCUCACCAAGGCGACGAUGCGUAGCCGACCUGAGAGGGUGAUCGGCCACAUUGGGACUGAGACACGGCCCAGACUCCUACGGGAGGAAGCAGUGGGGAAUAUUGCACAAUGGGGGAAACCCUGAGGCAGCAACGCCGCGUGAGUGAUGACGGCCUUCGGGUUGUAAAUCUCUGUCUUCAGGGACGAUAAUGACGGUACCUGAGGAGGAAGCCACGGCUAACUACGUGCCAGCAGCCGCCGUAA
rnacentral:rRNA from 1 species